CUUCACAGUACACGAGUACUUCACAGUACACGAGUACUUCACAGUACACGAGCACUUCACAGUACACGAGUACUUCACAGUACACGAGCACUUCACAGUACACGAGCACUUCACAGUACACGAGUACUUCACAGUACACGAGCACUUCACAAUACACAAGUACUUCACAAUACACAAGUACCUGGUGAUACCAUGUGCUGGUGAUAGAGGCCCCUGCACCUGGCAGGCAGGAGCCAUGUGACCAGUACGUCCACACUUAAAACAGGUUUUCAAUUGUCCACUGUAAAUAAAUUUAAUAUAAUGACCUGCUACCGACACUGAUGAAGGAAUAUUACGGUGAAGUUCCAUUUUUACUGUUCUUGUUCCAUUUAAACGCCCUUUCCCUGGUCCAUAGGUAAAUUUAUUGAAACGAACAUUGUCCACUUUCCCAUAUUGUUGACUUGAGAAUGGUCCAGGACGGACCGAAACGUCGUCGUCCCUUCACCUUCUAGUGUGUAGGAGCAACGACAAACACGUCCACCCACCAGACGCCAGUAGCAGAGAGAACCAUAACACGACUGCUCACCAUCACGUCCACGACGAGACUCCUUAUCAUUGAAGGGCACCUGGGAGGGUCUGGCCAGGUAUAUAGCUGAUGAGAUAAUGAUGGGAUCAUCACUCGCCAGAAGACCUCAUCAGCUCACUCACCUGAAGUACUCAUCAACACAUCCUCACUCACCUGAAGUACUCAUCAGACCCUUGAGUCUCCAAUCACGGGCGCCAGCAGCCUCGCAGGAAACAAGACGCUAUCUCAUAUUAAAAAGUUUUCUAGGGAUAACUAGAACAGCUACAUUGUUCUCUCUGCUAGGUCGCUAGUGACCUUGCAGGAAGUAAGGGGCUGUAUCAUGUUAUGAAGUUUCUCUAGUGGCACAUAGAACAGUUGAAUUGUUCUUGCGGUCAGUUCAUCAUAUAUUUAAUUCCUGUUGGUUGUUCAACAUAGUUGCUUGAUAAUCUCGAGGUCUUUGUCUCUCGAAUUCAUG